CCAGGUCAGGCGGGGCCACCCG
rnacentral:rRNA from 1 species